GCAUUGGUGGUUCAGUGGUAGAAUUCUUGCCUGCUAUGUGAGAGGCCCAGGUUCAAUUCCCAGCCAAUGCA